GCUAAUAAUAUGCUUUACACAUGCGAGUUGUACGAAAUAUAAAAUAUUUAAGUAGCAAACGGGUGAGGAAUUCGUAGAAUUUUACCUUUUAGUUUAGAAUAAAAUUCUAGAUAAUUAAAAAAAAAAUAAUUCAUUUAUUUUUGCUAAAAGAUAAAUCUGCGUAAGAUUAGGUAGUUGGUGAUUUAGUAGAUACACCAAGCCGUCGAUCUUUAGUUGGUCUUAGAAGGAUGAUCAACCACACUGGAACUGAGACAAGGUCCAGGCUAAGUAAUUUGGCCAGCAGUGAGGAAUAUUGGACAAUGAACGAAAGUUUGAUCCAGCAAUAUUAUGUGAAUGAAGAAGGCUAAUUUGGUUGUAAAAUUCUUUCGUUAAAAAUGAUAAUGACAUUAUUUAAAGAAGCUUAGUCCCGGCUAAUCUCGUGCCAGCAGCCGCGGUAAUACGGGAGGGGCAAGCGUUAUCCGAAAUUAUUGGGCGUAAAGUGUCCGUAGACUGUAAUAUAAGUUAUUUGUUAAAUUUUAAAGCUUAACUUUAAAAUAGCAUUUAAUACUGUUUUACUUGAGUUUUAUACAGAAAAAUAGAAUUUCAAAUGUAGGAGUAAUUUCCAUAGAUAUGUGAAGGAACACCAAUAGCGAAAGCAAUUUUUUAGUAAAAACUGACGUUGAGGGACGAAAGU
rnacentral:rRNA from 1 species